AUGUGGUUUAAUUCGAAGCAACGCGAAGAACCUUUACCAGGUCUUGACAUCCCGAUGCUAUUUCUAGAGAUAGAAAGUUACUUCGGUACAUCGGUGACAGGUGGUGCAUGGUUGUCGUCAGCUCGUGUCGUGAGAUGUUGGGUUAAGUCCCGCAACGAGCGCAACCCCUAUUGUUAGUUGCCAUCAUUCAGUUGGGCACUCUAGCGAGACUGCCGGUAAUAACCGGAGGAAGUGGGAUGACGUCAAAUCAUCAUGCCCCUUAUGACCUGGGCUACACACGUGCUACAAUGGUUGGUACAACGAGUUGCGAGUCGGUGACGGCGAGCUAAUCUCUUAAAGCCAAUCUCAGUUCGGAUUGUAGGCUGCAACUCGCCUACAUGAAGUCGGAAUCGCUAGUAAUCGCGGAUCAGCACGCCGCGGUGAAUACGUUCCCGGGCCUU
rnacentral:rRNA from 1 species